rnacentral:tRNA from 1 species
GCGGACGUGGCGGAAUUGGUAGACGCGCCAGAUUUAGGUUCUGGUACCGCGAGGUGUACGGGUUCGAGUCCCUUCGUCCGCACCA